UUGCUUCAGCGGCGCAUAUACUAAAACUGUAAUGAUACAGAGAAAUUUAUCAUGGCCCCUGAGCAAGGAUGACAGGCAAAUUCGUGAAAUGUUCCAUAAUUUU